GGACGGUGGCUCCCCACUCCCGUGGCGAAGGGCAGGCAAACCAGAAGCCUCUUUUGAGAGCCGUUUGGGAUUGAGACGAGUGGACAUGGACUCCAUGGAAGCCUGAGCUGCCAGGGGCUUCCCUGGGGCAGCACUGCUUCGCGUAGGCUCACGAGAAACUUCCAGGGUUCCUGGCGCCAGCCUUUCAACAGAGCAGCACAUUAUGCCUGGAUAAGACUCAAAGAGCAGCUUAAUAUCAGGUUCUCUGGGGCUGUAAUCAUCGGUUCAGGAUGGAGCAGACACAGCCGCAGCAAGGCCUCUGUGCAGCCCCCGGUUUAAAACACAUCAACGCAUCCGUGGGCACUUUUCGUAAGAAAAAUCACAUCCUGUUCCCCAGUAGCUGAGGAAAGCCGGCUCACGAGAGUAUACAGGGAGAAGAGGCCAGCAUUGUGUGGCUGCCAGCAAAGCUCACUUGUAUGUCAAAUGCAGCGCUUUUCUUAGCCCAUUAUGUAUUUUUUUUUUCUUGAACACUCCUGUGUCUACUGGGAUCUCCUGUUUUUAUUGUUUUGGGAUGAGAUUUUAAAAACACCAUUUAAUGUA